rnacentral:rRNA from 1 species
GAUGAACGCUGGCGGCGUGCCUAACACAUGCAAGUCGAACGGAGAUAUAUUUGACAGAAGCUUCGGCAGAAAGAUUAUAUAUCUUAGUGGCGGACGGGUGAGUAACGCGUGGGGAACCUGCCCUGUACUGGGGGAUAACAGUGAGAAAUCACUGCUAAAACCGCAUAAGCGCACACUGGCGCAUGCCAGAGUGUGAAAAACUCCGGUGGUACAGGAUGGACCCGCGUUGGAUUAGCCAGUUGGCGGGGUAACGGCCCACCAAAGCGACGAUCCAUAGCCGGCCUGAGAGGGUGAACGGCCACAUUGGGACUGAGACACGGCCCAGACUCC